UGGGGAAUAUUGCACAAUGGGCGCAAGCCUGAUGCAGCAACGCCGCGUGAGGGAUGACGGCCUUCGGGUUGUAAACCUCUUUUAGUAGGGAAGAAGCGAAAGUGACGGUACCUGCAGAAAAAGCACCGGCUAACUACGUGCCAGCAGCCGCGGUAAUACGUAGGGUGCGAGCGUUGUCCGGAAUUAUUGGGCGUAAAGAGCUCGUAGGCGGUCUGUCGCGUCUGCUGUGAAAACCCGAGGCUCAACCUCGGGCCUGCAGUGGGUACGGGCAGACUAGAGUGCGGUAGGGGAGAAUGGAAUUCCUGGUGUAGCGGUGGAAUGCGCAGAUAUCAGGAGGAACACCGAUGGCGAAGGCAGUUCUCUGGGCCGUAACUGACACUGAGGAGCGAAAAGCGUGGGGAGCGAACAGGAUUAGAUACCCUGGUAGUCCACGCCGUAAACGUUGGGCGCUAGAUGUGGGGACCAUUCCACGGUUUCCGUGUCGCAGCUAACGCAUUAAGCGCCCGCCUGGGGAGUACGGCCGCAAGGCUAAAACUCAAAGGAACUUGACGGGGUCAUAGCUG
rnacentral:rRNA from 1 species